UACGAAGGGGGCUAGCGUUGCUCGGAAUCACUGGGCGUAAAGCGCACGUAGGCGGCUUUUAAGUCAGGGGUGAAAUCCUGGAGCUCAACUCCAGAACUGCCUUUGAUACUGAGAAGCUUGAGUCCGGGAGAGGUGAGUGGAACUGCGAGUGUAGAGGUGAAAUUCGUAGAUAUUCGCAAGAACACCAGUGGCGAAGGCGGCUCACUGGCCCGGUACUGACGCUGAGGUGCGAAAGCGUGGGGAGCAAACAGGG
rnacentral:rRNA from 1 species